UUGGAAGGAAAGUUGGGUUACUUCAGCCCCUUACAGGCUUUCCACGCACUAAUUGGGAAUCCGCCGACAGAAGACGUCUCGACCUUUUGGGGUCGAACCUAACAUUAUUCGGCGCCCGAACAGGGACCUGCUGCCGAAUCACAAGGAGCAUCUUAACUAUUGUGCGGGACCACUACUGCUCAGGCCACCGGAGACCACAGACUGCACAAAACCUGGCCAGGAAUAACAAAGAAGACAGACCCCGGAAACCCCCAAUUUGUUAUUAUUGUGACAUAGUUACAUAAUCCGGACAACAUUGAAGGAACCCACACGCUACAGCCUGGAGACUACGUGUAUGUAAAGAAACAUACCAAGAAGUCCCUCGAGCCCUGAUUUGAAGGACCAUAUCAAGUCCUCUUGACUACAGCCACUGGAUUCAUGCAUCACACUGCAAAAGGGCGGUAUCUGACCAUGACAAUACUUUGGUUUCUGUUUAACUGUCUAAUAUGUUACAUCACAACCUUACAUGAUGAGCUAGAAAAGCAUCCAGAUAACAAAUUCUUGAAACACCAAUUAAUGUUGGCACAAAAUCUCACAGUGAAAGAUUGCUGGAUAUGCACACAUGCUCCUACAUCUGCCCAGAGUAUGCCUGUACCACCACAUGAGAUGUUCCAGGGGGAUUGCUUCGACACAUUAGCAAACAACAAGACACGGUGCACAAAAAAUUGGAACACUUCAGUGGGGAUUCCAAUAGUGGGGUGGACUGAGCAGUUUUGGACAAGAACCACAGCAGAUACUGACCUUUACGGGGGGCUCCUGGGGAGCACGUGAAGUCACACAAAUACUAGACCUAGGACGAAUAUAGUGUUGCUCGCGAAUAUUCGCAAUGCAAAUUUUAUUCGCGAAUAUCGCAUAUUCGCGAAUAUAGCGCUAUAUAUUCGUAAUUAGGAAUAUUUUUUUUU